UACGUAGGGGGCGAGCGUUGUCCGGAUUUAUUGGGCGUAAAGAGCGUGUAGGCGGUUUGGUAGGUCCGUUGUGAAAACUCGAGGCUCAACCUCGAGACGCCGGCGGAAACCAUCAGGCUAGAGUCCGGAAGAGGAGAGUGGAAUUCCUGGUGUAGCGGUGAAAUGCGCAGAUAUCAGGAGGAACACCAAUGGCGAAGGCAGCUCGCUGGGACGUGACUGACGCUGAGACGCGAAAGCGUGGGGAGCAAACAGG
rnacentral:rRNA from 1 species